UGUUUACAUGUAUUGCUGUUGACAAUACUGUAUCUCACAUAGUGUCUGAUGUUUCAAACUGCAUCCCACCCUGUGUAGGUACUGGCUAGUUUGAGAACAUUACGGAAUAACUUUGCUGCACUAACCAACUUGCAGCAAGACAGAGCUUCAAACAAGUGGUCCCCUAUGUGUAACCAACAACCACCCAGCAUCAAGUCCUCUUUCUCAGGAGCUGGAAAGGGAGCCAUUGGGAAAAAUAAUGCCUCCAUUAGAGCCCAUUAACUAGAGCAAUCAAGACCCAGCCUGAUUCUUGGCACCUGCCAAUAUUGAUUGACCCGACUUUAUUAUGAGGAGGAGGUGUUCUAUAUUGAGAACCAGCUAAAAAUAGCCAGGGUGCAGUCCCCUUUUUUUCUUUCCAAGAAUAGUGGAAAUAUGUGGCCAUGUUGCCUCGUAUCAGUAAUGUUGGGAUUAAUGAAUUAAUAUGUUGCAAUACUGGUGUAUGACCACAAUA
rnacentral:lncRNA from 8 species